CGAGGCGUGUCGAUGCCCGGGACGGGUCACCGCGCAGCGCCGCGGCCUCGCCGGCCGGGCUUGCCGCGGCGGUUGAAGCCCCUGGUGUUGUGAUGGUCAGCGGCGGUGGUCCGGAGUCGCCGUAGCCAAUGAUGCCUCCUUUGGAUAGCUGGUACGCCAUUAGAGCGGCCAUUUUAGCUUGCAGCUCCUUUAACAUAAGCGGUGCUGAGUUUAAUUUUUUCCCUUCCAAAUAACAUAGUGUUGAAAAAAAUAUUACGGAGAAAAUUUUUAGAAAAUCACAUGAGUAUUUAACACUAUUUCUCAUUUUGUCUAUAGUACAAUGCUAAAGUGCAUUUGUGCAAAAUAGUACGUAAUAAACCAGUAGAUUAUUCUACCUGGCUAUGUCUUCAUGUUCUCAAAGUAAAAGUGUUAUUAUACAUAUAAACUUUCCUCUUUAAUCACUCUACCUAUUGAAAAAAACCGCAUGAAAAUCGGUUGCGUAGUUUUAAAAAUUUAAGCGUACAAAGGGACAUAGGGACAAAAAAGCGACUUUGUUUUAUACUAUGUAGUGAUAUUGUAUAACUUGACAAAUCGAUAAAGCACUAAACUUCUUGCCAAACUUGAAGAAAUGUGAAUACUUACUUUAAUUUCAUCGGUCAACAUGAACGGUGGAGCGUUGGCAGAAGAAAUUGGCGGUGGGGCACCAGCCAAGCUCGACGGCUCGAUGGUCAACUGUACGCGGCAAACCGGGCAGAUUUCCUAUACAAAUCAAAAUUUAUUGCCGGCUGCUAAGAAGAUGGAGAGCCAAGCAGUGGCUAUGGAAAUAGUGGUAGCACUCCGUCCUGAUGAAAAUGUCCCCCUUCGUGAACCCAAAGAGACAGAUCAUGCAUUGACCGCUUGGCAAGUUGCUCUCCGUAAGACAUUCACGAAUAAGCUGAAAAUUGAUUGCUUUCUAUACUAAUAUAAUAAAGAGGAUUUUUUUUUA